UGAUAAAAAGGUCCAUAAUGAAUUGUUAGUAAUAUUAAUUUAGUCCCUAUGAAUAAUAAGGUGAUGUUAAAAAAGGUCAGUAUUUAAUGUUUUUGAUUCCCAUUCUGCCCUUAAAGCCAACUCUCUCUCUACCUUCAGUAUCUUCUUCUUCUCCUCCACACAGAGACACAGACCUCGAGAUAGUGUGAAUGGAGAAGAACAACGCGUCUUUGGAAUCGGUGUACGAGUUCUUGAAGCGGUGACGACUCGCCGGUAAUCGGAUCCCUCCAGAUCGUUCAGCUCAGCUCCUCUACUUCCUCUCCCUCCGAUCUCAUCACGUAAGCAACAUACUCAUCUCUUGCCGGUGAUUCGAAUUUCAAAACCCUCGCUUAUCCACUCUCGCUUGCUGCAACAUCGUUUCGAAUCGGCGCACUUUCGAUAGGCUUCGUCAUCGUCGGCUCCACUUCACACCACCAUGCCUUGCGCCACUUAGAAAAGAAAAGCUCCACCAUCGACUUCUGCCUCCAUCACCGUGAUGACAGACCAAUCACAUCCCGCCACCUCGAAUUCGGUAUCUGCGGUGGAGAAGCCGCUGCAAAUAUCGGCUGUAGCCUAUUUGAUGCGUAUUUUUGCAUUGGUGAGCGAGAUGGACAGUAAGAGGCAUAAUACCAUUGAAGAAACUUAGAAAUGGUUCCCAGGGAUCACUAUGAGCUGAGAAGAGUAAUGGUGCUAAACAUAUUCCAAUGAGUGAGCUGAUGGAUGGGUCUGAACCUACUGUUGAGAUAAAAAUAAAGACAUUGGAUCGUAAACCUAUACUCUCAAAGAGCAUAAACAGGUACGUACUCUUGCAACAGCGGCUAAUAUGUAGAGAAAUAGUUCUUAAAGGGGUACUAUUAUAGCUUUUAUUUGAUUUAAGGAAGGUCAAGAGUAACCACAUUCUUGAAAAGAUUUAAUGAUUAAUAUAAAGAAUCCCUUUAUGUUUUAGCGAUGUAACAUGAAGGGUAAAGCUUCUCUUCUCAUUGAUUAUGCAAAGGUUUAGAAAACAAUUUGUGAAGAUAGCACAAUAUAAGAUAGCACAAUAUAAGUAACUGACCAUGUCACUAACCAAAUAACUGUCAGUAGCCAAGUCACAAGUUAAUAGCCAAGUCACUGUUAAUCACAUGUCACUAACUAAGUAACUGACCAUGUCACUAACCAAGUAACUGUUAGUA